GCACAAUCCGAACGAACAAACAAAAUUAACAACGAAACGAAAAAUCUGUCUUAAAAUAUUUCAAGUACACUCUAGGCGACUCUCCCCUAUUAACACUCGCGGUUUGGAAAUAAAUGGAAAACGGAUAAGACAUAGUUCGCGCCACCGAUGAACUAUGAACUGCCAUCUGUCGUGAUUACGCAAUAAUAGGUUUAGCAGCGCUAGCAUUGUUUCCACGUUUCGGCAUAGAGACGAAGUUGAAGGCUGUUCGAGCAGAAAAACUGACCGAGAAUGGGACGCGGGAAAAGGAUCGCCUGACGCUAACCGUCAGGACGAUUGUUUCGUAAUUACCCAUUUGUUCGAGUGUCGCUGGAGGGUUAACCAUUUCACGAGGAAUCCUUUUGUCUCGCGAAGCCGUUGCGUGCCGAACGGAUCGUGCAGCUAUUGCGCCCGGUAACCUUUCGUUCGCAGGGCAACUUCGCGGACGAACUUGGACCUGAGGUGUUUCAGUCACGAAACAAGAAACAAGAAACUGAUAGAACUUCUCGUGCCGGCAACGGGCUUCGUAUCCAUUCGAAACACGAGCUCGAGCGUGCAGCAAUGAACUUUGUGCAACAUUGGAGCACAAAUCGGUCGGGCAGCAGCGGCGUGUACAGAAUGAGUCACGUCACCUUGUACUCGUGAUUCGUACACAUGGAAAUUACCUCCUUUAACAACCUAAAAUUAGAACGCCGAAUUCGAGCUUUCUACACGGUCUAGAUUUUCCCCCGAGCUUCGGACCUCCACCGUUACGAAACCGCAGAUAACGAUUUCGCUGGGAGCCUCCGAGAUAAAGUACAUGGUGAUUUAUUAUCGUACAUGGAAAACGUAAUUCCAACGGCUUACACCGUUCCGGACUAUUGUCGGCGACGAAGAAAAGGAUGGACGGCGUUGUCCUGAGCGCGGCGAGCGAAUACGUCAGGCAAUUUCCGGCUGGCGUGACUCUAUUAAUUCAGAGUCCGCCGCUGCCGUUUUAAUCGCCCUAACACGAGCUUCUUUCGCCAGCGGUUCACGAUAUCGACUUUCGGUUAAGUCGGUCAAGCAUCGAGCGAGGAUGCACGUCUACACGCGAAUCUCUGGCUAAGGCAUGCGUCCUCUGCACUUUCACUCUGACUAUUCGCUAGCACUGUAUUACGUGCCGCGGUGGGAACAGCUGAAAAUCGUUCGCGUUCGAACCAGAAAUUCAUCGUAGGCGCCGCGACCCAUGAAAUCCAUCGGGCACAGCUCCACGAGGGAGGAACAAUCCCGCGGACCUGCCUGUCGCGUUAAUCGAGGAGGAUUAACAUUAAUUGCAAUGCAUUGUCCGCGCUGGCAACGCUGCAUCGUGAAAACGACUACAUUGUAUUUUUUUUGGCACCGCUUUGCGGUUCAAUAGCUGUCGUCGAAAUCUUUGAGCACUCUUAUCAGCCGCAGGUGACGCAAGACACUCGUUCUGUAACUUAUUGAACGAGGAAUCCCCCGUCCGCGUUUUUUAAAAUAUACUUUUCUAAACGAACCGAUUCCAGGACGAGGAUUAACUGAAGGAGUUUUCUAAUCUCGAAUCGGAAAGUGAGAGGCUCUGGACACAAAAGAAAGCCGAUAAGGAAUCGCGCCGAGUGCCUCUAUGCUGCAUUCGACGCGACGAUAAGAAACCAUGAGUAAUUACCGCACGACGCCCGAGGGGUAAUAUACCGCGUGUCUCGGCGGAAUUUCGAUUUCUCCAGGAGGAGGGAAAGAUGGAGUAAUCUGAGAGCAGGCGGCGAUCCUGACGCGACCGACCAGCCUGACCCGCUAAAAUUAACCGGCGAUGAUAACCAGGAACGCGCUUUCCGUUUGCAGAUAAUCGCAAACGCGUUUCGCUUUGUUCGACGCGGCGAACGGCACUGAAGGACCGACACGUGUCCGUUGUUGCGACAUUCUAACCAAUAUCUAUCGGACGUAUUGCCAGGGUUUACUGCCAGUGACCAGAAUAAGUCGCCGCUAUUGUUCUUGCGUCGACCGUUUCUUCGACCUGGGGAAACAGGACAUUGGGGCACCCUCCGGUUGACCCUCUGCGCUCGAGAGGUGAACGCCAGUCGCCAUGUUCAACCCCUGACAGUCCUAUGUAGUCAGACUCGACAUUCUAUUC